GUAGGUGGCAAGCGUUGUCCGGGAAUUAUUGGGGCGUAAAGCGCGCGCAGGCGGUUCUUUAAGUCUGAUGUGAAAGCCCACGGGCUCAACCGUGGAGGGUCAUUGGAAACUGGAGAACUUGAGUACAGAAGAGGAAAGCGGAAUUCCACGUGUAGCGGUGAAAUGCGUAGAGAUGUGGAGGAACACCAGUGGCGAAGGCGGCUUUCUGGUCUGUAACUGACGCUGAGGCGCGAAAGCGUGGGGAGCAAACAGGAUUAGAUACCCUGGUAGUCCACGCCGUAAACGAUGAGUGCUAAGUGUUAGGGGGGGUUCCGCCCCUUAGUGCUGCAGCUAACGCAUUAAGCACUCCGCCUGGGGAGUACGGCCGCAAAGGCUGA
rnacentral:rRNA from 1 species